AGUGAACGCUGGCGGUAGGCCUAACACAUGCAAGUCGAACGGCAGCACAGUAAGAGCUUGCUCUUACGGGUGGCGAGUGGCGGACGGGUGAGGAAUACAUCGGAAUCUACUUUUUCGUGGGGGAUAACGUAGGGAAACUUACGCUAAUACCGCAUACGACCUACGGGUGAAAGCAGGGGAUCUUCGGACCUUGCGCGAUUGAAUGAGCCGAUGUCGGAUUAGCUAGUUGGCGGGGUAAGGGCCCACCAAGGCGACGAUCCGUAGCUGGUCUGAGAGGAUGAUCAGCCACGCUGGAACUGAGACACGGUCCAGACUCCUACGGGAGGCAGCAGUGGGGAAUAUUGGACAAUGGGCGCAAGCCUGAUCCAGCCAUACCGCGUGGGUGAAGAAGGCCUUCGGGUUGUAAAGCCCUUUUGUUGGGAAAGAAAAGCAGCAGGUUAAUACCCCGCUGUUCUGACGGUACCCAAAGAAUAAGCACCGGCUAACUUCGUG
rnacentral:rRNA from 1 species